rnacentral:rRNA from 1 species
CCAACCGGGAUUGCCUUAGUAACGGCGAGUGAAGCGGCAAAAGCUCAAAUUUGAAAUCUGGUACCUUCGGUGCCCGAGUUGUAAUUUGUAGAGGGCGACUUUGGGGCGGCUCCUUGUCUAUGUUCCUUGGAACAGGACGUCAUAGAGGGUGAGAAUCCCGUGUGGCGAGGAGUGCGGUUCCGUGUAAAGCGCUCUCGAAGAGUCGAGUUGUUUGGGAAUGCAGCUCUAAGUGGGUGGUAAAUUCCAUCUAAAGCUAAAUAUUGGCGAGAGACCGAUAGCGAACAAGUACAGUGAUGGAAAGAUGAAAAGAACUUUGAAAAGAGAGUGAAAAAGUACGUGAAAUUGUUGAAAGGGAAGGGCAUUUGAUCAGACAUGGUGUUUUGCGCCCCUCGCUCCUUGUGGGUGGGGGACCCUCGCAGCUCACUGGGCCAGCAUCAGUUUUGGCGGUCGGAUAAAACCAGGGGAACGUAGCUUGCUUCGGGAAGUGUUAUAGCCCUUGGGAAUACGGCCAGCCGGGACUGAGGAACGCGAUUCGUCAAGGAUGCUGGCAUAAUGGUUAUAUGCCGCCCGUCUUGAAACACGGACCUCCUGUGUGAAGGGAUCCCGCUA